UAAGCGGAGGAAAAGAAACUAACAAGGAUUCCCCUAGUAACGGCGAGUGAAGCGGGAAGAGCUCAAAUUUAAAAUCUGGCGGUGUAUUCCGUCCGAGUUGUAGUCUAGAGAAGCAUCAUCCGCGCCGGACCAUGUACAAGUCUCUUGGAACAGAGCGUCAUAGAGGGUGAGAAUCCCGUCCUUGACAUGGACUCCCGGUGCUUUGUGUUGUGCUCUCAACGAGUCGAGUUGUUUGGGAAUGCAGCUCAAAAUGGGUGGUAAAUUCCAUCUAAAGCUAAAUAUUGGCGAGAGACCGAUAGCGAACAAGUACCGUGAGGGAAAGAUGAAAAGCACUUUGGAGAGAGAGUUAAACAGUACGUGAAAUUGUUGAAAUGGAAACGCUUGAAGUCAGUCGCGUUCUCUGGGAUUCAGCCUGGCUUCUGCCUGGUGCAUUUCCUAGUCUACGGGCCAGCAUGAAUUUCGACCGAUAGAAAAGGGCUUGAGGAAUGUGGCACCUUCGGGUGUGUUAUAGCCUCUUGUCGUAUGUGUCGGUUGGGAUUGAGGACCUCAGUGCACGCUUUUGUUGUGCUUUGAUGCUGGCGUAAUGGCUUUAAACGACCCGUCUUGAAACACGGACCAAGGAGUCUAACAUGUCUGCGAGUGUUUGGGUGGAAAACCCGAGUGCAUAAUGAAAGUGAUAGUUGGGAACCUCUCACGAGGGGCACCGACGCCCGGACCAGACCUUCUGUGACGGAUCCGAGGUAGAGCAUAUAUGUUGGGACCCGAAAGAUGGUGAACUAUGCCUGCAUAGGGUGAAGCCAGAGGAAACUCUGGUGGAGGCUCGUAGCGAUUCUGACGUGCAAAUCGAUCGUCAAAUGUGGGUAUAGGGGCGAAAGACUAAUC
rnacentral:rRNA from 1 species